UACAGAGGUCUCAAGCGUUGUUCGGAUUCAUUGGGCGUAAAGGGUGUGUAGGUGGCGCGCUAAGUCGGGGUGUGAAAUUUCGGAGCUUAACUCCGAAACUGCAUUCGAUACUGGCGUGCUUGAGGACUGGAGAGGAGACUGGAAUUCAUGGUGUAGCAGUGAAAUGCGUAGAGAUCAUGAGGAAGACCAGUGGCGAAGGCGGGUCUCUGGACAGUUCCUGACACUGAGACACGAAGGCCAGGGGAGCAAAACGGGG
rnacentral:rRNA from 1 species